GAGGUUGAUUGAAAGAGAGUGUCCAAGAAAUGUGAGAAGGCUGAAUAGAGGACGUAGAAGAAGAACAAAUUAGCAUUUGAAAGUUGUUCCUCAAUUUUACUCUGAAGAGUUGAAGAGUAAGCUGCAAUACUCAUGUCUCCAAGAAAACUUCAAGCUUUUGUAUUAAUGGUAGAUUUUUAUUUUAGUAGCAAUUCAAUAAGCAACUCUGUUUCUGUUCCUGGCUAUUAUGCAAGAGCUUGCCGGUAUAGUUCUUGUUUAUUUUUGUAAGUAUUUGACAAACUAUGAGCAUUUGUGUUCUCA